GACCAAUGAUGAGAUUGGAGGGUGUCUGAAU
rnacentral:piRNA from 2 species